GGUGGUGGGUACUUGGCACAGUGUAGAUCCACAUUGAAGUCACAGAUCUCGCAGCGAUAACUGUUGACAUUUCAGGAUCUUCCUCUUAAGUCUUUCUUAAGAGGUUCACCAUCUCCCUUACACUCACUUGUAUGCUCUGUUUCUCUUACUCUAACAGAAGCAUAAAGACUCUCUCUUUACUCUCUUGUUCUUUCUUUGUUUCUUUUCAUAUGACAAACGAUUUGUAAGAGAGAAGAGAGAACACACAUUAAUUGUCUACAUUUUAUUUUCGGAUCUCAAGGAUACUUUCUUACAACACACACAUCAUACUUAUACUACUUCUACUAGUUGCACCUCCCACAUGCUCCCAUACUUAAGACCAUCAUGACUCUUACACAUUAGACCACGCUCCUAGUUACUAACCCUUACACAUCAUAGGUUUGCUUUCUUACACAAGCCACACUACUAUUACAACAACUCUCUUAGCUAGGCUUUAACCAAACAAAUGACUAAGUCACAACACAACUUUCUACUUUGUCUUGUCCUUGGUCUCUUGCUUCUACUUGUCGAGUCCAUCUUCCACAUGGACCACCAAAAACAUCUUUCUCUUUGGGCCUAAAUCAAAUUUAAUCAAGAACUCAAUUCUCAACAGUAUCGUAAGUAGAGGGCAGCAUGGUGGUGAGCAAGCCUUGGUCUGGGCUCCUUUGUGGUUUUUGUUUUCUCUUUUUCUGUUUUCUUUGAAUAAAGCACCAACGGUUGAUCCAUAUGGUUGUAUUCUUCUUAUGCUUCGGUUGUUAUUGUUGCUUUUCUCUUGUAUUUUUCUGGGUUGUACCCGAUGUUCUUCAAGUUUUCGAGUAAUAAAUAAAACCUGUUGGCCCU